rnacentral:misc_RNA from 1 species
GAUGAAGAACGUAGUGAAAUGCGAUAAUUAAUGUGAAUUGCAGAAUUCAGUGAAUCAUCGAGUCUUUGAACGCACAUUGCGCCCCCUGGUAUUCCGGGGGACAUGCCUGUCCGAGCGUCAUUGCUGCCCUCAAGCACGGCUUGUGUGUUGGGCUUCCGUCCCUGGCAACGGGGACGGGCCCAAAAGGCAGUGGCGGCACCAUGUCUGGUCCUCGAGCGUAUGGGGCUUUGUCACCCGCUCCCGUAGGUCCAGCUGGCAGCUAGCCUCGCAACCAAUCUUUUUAACCAGGUUGACCUCGGAUCAGGUAGGGAUACCCGCUGAACUUAAGCAUAUCAAUAAGCGGAGGA